rnacentral:lncRNA from 1 species
AUUUAAUCUGUUUAUUUCCUGUAUUAAGCAUGUAAGUAAUUCAUUAAUUGCAGCCCAGUAUGCUCAUUGAAAUUGAAGUUAUCGGAAGUAAACAUAAUGUGGGAGGACAAUUGUCAUAGAAUAUUUAGGAACUUUACAAAAAAAAUGCAUAUGCAAAGGAACAUGCAUGAACCAAACAUGUUAAUGUAAAAAAAAAUAUGACGUUCCUUGUGGUAGCAAGACUAGUGUCACCUUGGGCCAGAGUAACAAAAUAGGAUUCAGAUAUACAAUUAAACAAAUAUUUAAUGUCAAUUGUUCGCUUAUUCACUUCAUCCAUCUAUUUGUAAUAAUAACAAUUUGUAUAAAUAAAGGCAACAGUAGUAUACCGCUGUUCAAAACUCAUAAAUCCAUGGACAAAAAACAAAAUCGGGAUAACAAACUAAAACCGAGGGAAACGCAUUAAAUAUAAGAGGAGAACAACGACAUAACACUAAAAUGUAAC